AGAAGUGUGCCUCGUACUUUCAUUCGUCUCUCACCCAAAACCCUCACUCUCUCACCUAAAUCCCUCUCACCCAAACUCCAAAUCAGAGAAAAGAAUCACACCAUUGAACCAUUUUUUUUAAACCCGCCAUCAUCAAAACCAGUUUCAAUCUUGAUUUUAUUCAAGGGUUUUACUUGAUUUCUACAAGAUCUUGAGAUAUACACAUGGAUUGGCUGCAACUCAGCUAAAUUUGGUCAUUUAUAUGCAGCUCCCCUACUAGACCUAGUAAUACAGUGAGUGUGACUUCCAUUCUUGGAGGUGCUUCAGAUAACACCUACUCAAGCAUUGCUCGCCGCUUAGGUUGGUGUUCUUAUAGGCAAAGCUGGGGAAAUCAUUCGGUUAUUGCAGAAUAAUUCUGGAGCUAAUUCAAAUCACAAGAGGUUCUGAAGCUGAUAGAUAUGCAACAACCAGACCUGUUGAAUUAAAUUCAGAUCCAAGUCCCAAAUGAGAAGGUUGGUUUGGUCGUUGGCAAGGGAGGUGAAACAAUUAAAUCCUUACAGACAAGAACUGGGACAAAAAUCAAGGUACCAAGUUUUUUACUGCAGAGAUUUGACAAGAAAGCAUUGGAAUCUCGUUUUGGAAUCUCCUAUAAGAUCUGACCCCAUGUGAAUGCUUUUGAAGAUCCAUGUCUUCACUACAACCUCUAGUGAUGCUCCAUUGAUUUCAGAAACGGUUGGAGAUGAUGAGUAUUGGAGUGGAAUUGCUCAGGUAAUAACGCAUUGUUUCAAGACUUGUUUAUUUUUUAAUCUUCUUUAUGUAAUAAGAGAUUUGAACAUUCAUUCACCUCUUGAUUUUGUCGGGGAGAUGGUGAGUAUUCGGAUGUGGAUGCUCAGGUAAUAAUGCUCGUUUUAAUAAAAUGUUGUCUCUUGCAACAAAAACUUCUUUUCUUCUUACUGUAACAUGCUUGUUAAAUUUAUUAUACUCAAUACUUAUGGCAAUGGAUGUUUAUUGGUAUUAGAGUAUGCAGUGGUUCAGUGGCAAACACGAUGGACCUUAUCUAGAAAGAAUGUGAAAAAUUAAAGAUUGUCUGGUGAUAGUUCUGUGCAUUUAUCUCAAACCUGGUGACAUUUUUUAACUCUUUCCAAGGAUUAAGUUUUAGUAACUAUGUGAUUUCAUUUUAAUGGUACAGUUUGCCCCUUUGGUUGUCUGAAUUCUGUUUGUGUCGCAUGACUGAAUGUACACUUAAUUUCCCUUUUGGUUAGCUUGAGGAAGUGGUUUUAAAUUAUUUUUAUUUUCUUUUUAUGUACACGAUGAUUCAUUCACUUCUUUAUACUUUCAGGAACUAGAUGAAUGUCCAGAUGUGCUAAGGAACUAGCUGAAUGUGGAUUGUAGAAAUUCAAUCACAAUGUUUUGUCGAGUUCGAUACCUUCAUGGAUGCCGUCACUCUCUUUCCAAUUGUCUCACGAGUGUUUCUGAUGUCAUGGUUGAUGGUGAGACCGUUGUUGCUGCUAGAUAUGUAGGAAAGGGUUGUGAAAUUGUGGUUGAAAUUUUUUUAGGACUUAUUGUAUCACUUCUCUCAAGCAAGCUGGUGCCAAGGUCCCAAUGACUGAAAUUGUGGUUGAAAUUUUUUUAGGACUUAUUGUAUCACUUCUCUUCAAGAAACCUUAAUAAUAUGGGUUGAAUCCUUUUUUUUUAAAAUGAUUUUGUACUAAAUUUAUUCAAUGUAAUGGAGUUAUCAUUUGGUAUUA